AUGUGUACCGGGUUUUAGUAGAAAAAUAUCCUAAUAUCAUGGAUUCUAAGUUUUAAGGUUAAGGGUAUUUUAAUAAUUUUCAUUCUCAAAACUAAAAAAAAAGAAAAAAGAAACCCCCAAACCCUUGUUCACCUCCCUCAUUCCUCUCAAUCUUUUCUCUUUCAUCUCUCUCACUCCAACAUUUUCUCUGUCAUCCCUACACUAGUCCCAACUGAAAAAACACUCUCGCGUUAAACAAUUUGCUUUUGUAAAGAGUUGAGUCAUUGACAUAUUCGCCUUCAGGAAAAGGUUCAUUCAAGAUCUCUUCAAUUUCAUCAUUUUCACUAACCUCUCUAAUUUCAAAUCAUCUGCGGAUGUUGAAUCAUCAUCUCUAAAAAAUAUUUCCAGGUCAAUUACCAAUUCCUUCCAAUGUCAUUAUGCUUGUGAAAAUUAGAUAAAAUUAGAUAAGACAAAAAUUCUAAAAUGAAAACUCAUUAUAAAAUCAUUUUUUUGUAAGAAAUUGUUUAACAAUGAGUGUUUCUGAUUUUUCUAGGCCAAUUACCAAUUCUUUCAGAUGUCAUUAUGCUUGUAAAAAUUAGAUAAAAUUAGAUAAGACAAAAAUUAUGAAAUGAAAACUCAUUAUAAAAUCAUAAUUUUUAGUAAGAAAUUGUUUAACAGUGAGUGUUUCUGAUUUUUUUCAGUUGGGGCUACAGUAGCGAUGACAGAUAAAAUGAUGGAGUGAAAGAGAUGAAAGAGAAAGGGUUGAAAGGAAUAAGGGAGGUGAGUUCUUUUUUUUUAGUUUUGAAAAUGAAAAUUAUUAAGCUACCCUUAACCUUAAAACUUAGAAUCCAUGAUAUAUUAGGGUAUUUUUGUCUACUAAAACCUGGUACACAUUGCUAAAAUGUACCAAUUGAAAAACAGGCGUACGCAAGUUAGCAAACCCCUUUACUAAUA
rnacentral:lncRNA from 1 species